GUGUGCUGGGAGCUAUCCACGUUUUUUUUUUUUUUUCUGAACAAGAUCCACCGUUGUCAAAUCCAGUACCGUGCGUGCGGUUGUUGGAAUCGCCGGGUGGUGGAGUGGUGCGGUCGGCGAGAGACUGCUCUGCGUUGUGGCCGGCGGCGAGCGGCUUCAGCUGGGGAUUAGGGCCGGCGGCGAGCAGCUUCAGCUGGGGAUCGAGGCGAGCGGCGGGUGUCCACGGCGGUGCUGAAUCGAUUCGGGAUCAACGGCUGGACUCGGCGACGUGGUGAGCGGAAGGCGGCCAGGCGGGCGUCCCGUUCCUCGCGCAGCAGUUCGGCUGGCUGCUGCUCUCCCGCCGGUCACCAUCCCGUUCCUCACCCCCAGCUUGCCGUCUACUCCGCCCCGGCGACGGCUCGCUGUCUCCUCCGCCGGAGUGUGCUUCGACUUGAAGGGGACCAAGGUGGGAGUACUGCUUCAUGUGGCAGGUGGUGGUUGUGCCAGCACCAUGGACAAUGCUGGGUAUACUACACUCGUAUACUACACUCGCUGAUGUCCCUGUGCAGAUCCACUGAGAAUAUGCGAGGAAAUAUGUGUUGCUAAUAGAUUCACCAUCCAUUUGGCGUAUUUUUUUUAACAAACCUACAACCUGAAAGAUCAUGCUGGCGAUGAGCAUUCGAGUUCAAGACUGAUAAGAAGCAACCGAUCUGAGGGGCUUCACAUAUGUCAUGCUAGCCCCAGCAAGAUGCAUUCGAGUUCGAGAUUGAUGAGAAGCAACUGAUCCGAGCGGCUUCACAUAUGUCAUGCUAGCCCCAACAAGGUGCCGAUGAGGUGACCUUCAGCACCGUGUUGCCUAGUAGGAUGGAAAUGAGUAAUCAAAACCCCAGUGGUAUUAUUAUACCAAAAAAUAUUUACGGCGAGUCAUGUACUUCACUAAAUGUUUGAUGAAUAAUUCCUUCAUUUUAUUUACAGUCUUGUUAGGCCUUGCUCACAUUUAUUCUAUGGGAACAUGAGGCUAUGCCAGUCUCCCUCAAAAAACAUGAGGCUAUGCCAGUCAAUCUUACGUCGUGUAGUCAGGCAAUGUGAUAAUCAUGCAAAGUCUUAUGCUGUGUAAUCAGCAGAUUUUUUAAUCAAGAAUAUUCUUGCGUAUGUGUGGUAAAGUAGGUAUCAUCAGCGAAAAUAGCUAAUGGAACCCGUCUACGCGCGAGGAUGAAACUGCACCCAAUCAGAGAGCAGCACAUGUCUGACAACUUGCGUAUUUCCAUCAGGGCCGCACCACGCUCAACCGCACUGAGCGGACGAGCCAGACGGCCACCGUCGCCGCCAUCGAGGUCUGGCGCUGCCGCCCCGGCAUCCGCACGCCGGCAACCCGACCUCCGCCCCCGAACCGAGUUGGACGGGCACCAGCCCGACAGCAAGCUCGGCGACAAUUCAAGCAGCUGGAGAUGGAGCAGGAGUACGCGGGCACAAGGUUGCGCGCGUCAGCGGCUGGGCAUCGUGCUCAAACACACUUAGCGCAGCUCCUCCACCUGUCCACCACCACCCGCAACCGCCGUGCUCCUCAGCGCAAGCUCCAUGACGUUUGGCCCGCCGAGUGUUGUGGCUUGGUGUACGCAUGCCGGCGCUCAGUUGGAACUGACGCAGCUCGUCGGCAGCGUUUGGCCCUCCUACGAGGACGAGCUCCUCGAGCGAGUAGUUCGUGAUGUUCAUGGACUUGCUCUGGUAAUUCGCUGCCUUAUAUGUGAAGUGGACGCAGGCAGUAUAGGAAUUUCUUUUUUGCAUGUAGAUUCGGGUCGCUACAUCAUUUUGUGUGUAAGACCUGGAUCGAUUCUCUUGACACGAGUUGACAUUUUGAUUUUCUCUCA